GGAGACUGCUGGCUGCUGGCCGCCAUCGGCUCUCUGACUCUGAACGAACGGCUGCUGCAUCGCGUGGUUCCUCACGGCCAGAGCUUCGACCGCGAAUACGCCGGCAUCUUCCACUUCCAGCUCGCUGAAGAGUCGUGUUGGUGCCGUAAAUGAGCCUUCUUUGUCGGAAAGCAGUGAUGGUGAUGAUGAUGACGGUGAGUCAGGGACAUCAGGAUGACCCCCCACUUCACAGAAACCCGGUCCUCGUGGCCCCCCUCCUCUGACUCUGACUCCUCUGCAGAGACGCUGCCUGAGGCCCCGCCCACACUACUCCGUUUACAAACAGAGAAUUAAAACGAAUACGAUCUCCGUCCACAGCAGCGUUUCUGCUGAUCUCCGUCUACAUUAAAACGACGCCUAGCUAGGACCCGUUCAGGUGCACUGGUGUAAACAGGAAGCAGAUGGUCUGUUCCGUAGUUACCGAUGAUUUGGUGAAAGAAUAAAUAAAUACAGACUAAGCAUCAGAACAGUUUUUUUGUUGUUGCAUGGAUCAAUAACGAGCUGGAACUGUUACUGAAUGUAACACGGGGGGGUGGCGGCAGAAAACAGACUGGGAGUCGUUGCAGAGUAAACGGCGACAUGCACAGUACGAGUAUAGAGAAUAUUUUACUAAAAAUAUGAUGUCAAAAACCGGGUCAGCAGCAUCGUGUUUCUGCUUUGCAAGAACCAAUCAGAGAGCCGAGCGUGAGCGGCUGCGUCAUCGUUUCUAAAGUCCUCCGUUUUGGCCCGUCUUCA